GAAGUUAAUGAUAGUUAUUGUUGCCCCUGUCUUAACUUGCAUCCAAAAGAUUGGAUUUGCAAGAUGGUGAUUGACUUAUUAUAUCUGCUUC